rnacentral:rRNA from 1 species
AUACGGAGGAUCCGAGCGUUAUCCGGAUUUAUUGGGUUUAAAGGGUGCGCAGGCGGCCAUUUAAGUCAGCGGUUAAAUCGUGGGGCUCAACCCCAUUCUGCCGUUGAUACUGGGUGGCUUGAUUGCGGUCGAGGUUGGCGGAAUUCGUUGUGUAGCGGUGAAAUGCAUAGAUAUGACGAAGAACACCGAUUGCGUAGGCAGCUGACCAGACCGCAAAUGACGCUCAUGCACGAAAGUGCGGGGAUCGAACAGGAUUAGAUACCCUGGUAGUCCGCACAGUAAACGAUGAAUACUUGUUUUCGGCGAUAUAAUGUCGGAGGCAAAGCGAAAGCGAUAAGUAUUCCACCUGGGGAGUACGCCGGCACCGGUGAAACUUAAAGGAAUUGACGGGG